CCUACGGGAGGCAGCAGUGGGGAAUAUUGGACAAUGGGGGGAACCCUGAUCCAGCGACGCCGCGUGAGUGAAGAAGGAUUUCGGUAUGUAAAGCUCUAUCAGCAGGGAAGCAAGAACUGACGGUACCUGACUAAGAAGCCCCGGCUAACUACGUGCCAGCAGCCGCGGUAAUACGUAGGGGGCAAGCGUUAUCCGGAUUUGCUGGGUGUAAAGGGAGCGUAGACGGUUACGCAAGUCUGGAGUGAAAGGCGGGGGGCCAACCCCCGGACUGCUUUGGAAACUGUAUGACUGGAGUGCAGGAGAGGUAAGUGGAAUGCCUAGUGUAGCGGUGAAAUGCGUAGAUAUUGGGCGGAACACCAGUGGCGAAGGCGGCUUACUGGACUGUAACUGACGUUGAGGCUCGAAAGCGUGGGGAGCAAACAGGAUUAGAUACCCGUGUAGUC
rnacentral:rRNA from 1 species